rnacentral:rRNA from 1 species
ACGAACGCUGGCGGCGUGCUUAACACAUGCAAGUCGAACGGAAAGGCCCUGCUUUUGUGGGGUGCUCGAGUGGCGAACGGGUGAGUAACACGUGAGUAACCUGCCCUUGACUUUGGGAUAACUUCAGGAAACUGGGGCUAAUACCGGAUAGGAGCUCCUGCUGCAUGGUGGGGGUUGGAAAGUUUCGGCGGUUGGGGAUGGACUCGCGGCUUAUCAGCUUGUUGGUGGGGUAGUGGCUUACCAAGGCUUUGACGGGUAGCCGGCCUGAGAGGGUGACCGGCCACAUUGGGACUGAGAUACGGCCCAGACUCCUACGGCAGGCAGCAGUGGGGAAUAUUGCACAAUGGGCGGAAGCCUGAUGCAGCAACGCCGCGUGCGGGAUGACGGCCUUCGGGUUGUAAACCGCUUUCGCCUGUGACGAAGCGUGAGUGACGGUAAUGGGUAAAGAAGCACCGGCUAACUACGUGCCAGCAGCCGCGGUGAUACGUAGGGUGCGAGCGUUGUCCGGAUUUAUUGGGCGUAAAGGGCUCGUAGGUGGUUGAUCGCGUCGGAAGUGUAAUCUUGGGGCUUAACCCUGAGCGUGCUUUCGAUACGGGUUGACUUGAGGAAGGUAGGGGAGAAUGGAAUUCCUGGUGGAGCGGUGGAAUGCGCAGAUAUCAGGAGGAACACCAGUGGCGAAGGCGGUUCUCUGGGCCUUUCCUGACGCUGAGGAGCGAAAGCGUGGGGAGCGAACAGGCUUAGAUACCCUGGUAGUCCACGCUGUAAACGGUGGGUACUAGGUGUGGGGUCCAUUCCACGGGUUCCGUGCCGUAGCUAACGCUUUAAGUACCCCGCCUGGGGAGUACGGCCGCAAGGCUAAAACUCAAAGGAAUUGACGGGGCCCCGCACAAGCGGCGGAGCAUGCGGAUUAAUUCGAUGCAACGCGUAGAACCUUACCUGGGUUUGACAUGGAUCGGGAGUGCUCAGAGAUGGGUGUGCCUCUUUUGGGGUCGGUUCACAGGUGGUGCAUGGCUGUCGUCAGCUCGUGUCGUGAGAUGUUGGGUUAAGUCCCGCAACGAGCGCAACCCUUGUUCACUGUUGCCAGCACGUUAUGGUGGGGACUCAGUGGAGACCGCCGGGGUCAACUCGGAGGAAGGUGGGGAUGACGUCAAGUCAUCAUGCCCCUUAUGUCCAGGGCUUCACGCAUGCUACAAUGGCUGGUACAGAGAGUGGCGAGCCUGUGAGGGUGAGCGAAUCUCGGAAAGCCGGUCUCAGUUCGGAUUGGGGUCUGCAACUCGACCUCAUGAAGUCGGAGUCGCUAGUAAUCGCAGAUCGGCAACGCUGCGGUGAAUACGUUCCCGGGGCUUGUACACACCGCCCGUCAAGUCAUGAAAGUUGGUAACACCCGAAGCCGGUGGCCUAACCGUUGUGGGGGAGCCGUCGAAGGUGGGACUGGUGAUUAGGA